rnacentral:pre_miRNA from 1 species
CAUGUUUGUGAGGGGGAUGUUUGUGCAAUUUAGUGUUGUAAAUAUAUUGCACUAACCUUCGCCUUGCAAAUAUAGG